rnacentral:rRNA from 1 species
UACGUAGGGUGCAAGCGUUGUCCGGAAUUAUUGGGCGUAAAGAGCUCGUAGGCGGUCUGUCGCGUCGGCUGUGAAAACCCGGAGCUCAACUCCGGGCCUGCAGUCGAUACGGGCAGACUGGAGUUCGGCAGGGGAGACUGGAAUUCCUGGUGUAGCGGUGAAAUGCGCAGAUAUCAGGAGGAACACCGGUGGCGAAGGCGGGGUCUCUGGGCCGAUACUGACGCUGAGGCACGAAAGCGUGGGGAGCAAACAGG